rfam:Coriobacteriaceae bacterium CHKCI002 isolate CHKC2 genome assembly, contig: {contig245}
GCCUUGGUCGGAAACCAAGGCUCGUAAAGGAG